rnacentral:rRNA from 1 species
ACCAGCAGCUAUCACUCUGCAGCUCUCACCUGGUUGCCCACUGAAGCUAAGCAGGGAUGAGCCUGGUCAGUACCUGGAUGGUAGACCUCUUGGGAAAAUGAGGUUGCAGCUGGAA